GUGCCAGCAGCCGCGGUAAUACCGGCAGCCCGAGUGAUGGCCGAUCUUAUUGGGCCUAAAGCGUCCGUAGCUGGCUGCGCAAGUCCGUCGGGAAAUCCAUCAGCCCAACGGAUGGGCGUCCGGCGGAAACUGCACGGCUUGGGACCGGAAGGCUCGAAGGGUACGUCCGGGGUAGGAGUGAAAUCCCGUAAUCCCGAACGGACCACCGAUGGCGAAAGCAUCUCGAGAAAACGGAUCCGACAGUGAGGGACGAAAGCUAGGGUCUCGAACCGGAUUAGAUACCCCGGUAGUCC
rnacentral:rRNA from 1 species